rnacentral:lncRNA from 1 species
GCGUACGGCAGCAGCCGCACCGCCGCCUCGAACACCUCGACGACGAACCCGCCGGCGGUCGUCCGGUUCGUCGCCGCGUCCACGUCCAGGUGCACGAUCGCCCGGUACCCGGGGUUGACGCUGCCGGGCACCGCCACCCGCAGCCUCCGCGCGCUCGUCGGCACCACCCACCCCCUCGGCACCACCGUCGACUCCCCCGGCCAGAUCACCGGCGCGAGCUCGCCCCCGCCACCGCCGCCAACGCCGAGGUGCCGGGUCAGCCCGCCGUCCUUGGUCCAGAACCCGAUGCUCCUCUCCUUCCCUCUGUCCAUGAUGUUCAGCACGCGGAAGGCGUGCACCGCGAGCUCGCCGUCGACGAGCUGGAACCUGCCGCCGAGGCCGUCGAACGUCGUGCUGGUGAUCGCCUCGAGGAACUUCUUGCCGGACCUUGACUUGCCGAGCCCGGCGAAGUCGGUGGGCCCACACGGCGUAGCUGCCCAUCUCGGCGUGCUCCGCGUCGGCGGCCGGGUGCUCGGCCAUGAAGCGGCGCACCCACCGCCGCCUGACGUCGCGCAGCCGCGGCGUCGUCGGCACGUAGGGGGCGAGGCCGAUCACCCCCUGCGGCGCGUUGAUGGAGCCGAGGAGGCCCGUGAGCCCGUCGGUGAUGACCCACGCGAAGCCCUCGCCCAUCAUCCCGGCGGCCUCGGCGGCGGCGAGCACGCGCCCGGCGAGGUCCGGGCGCGCGUGCAGCACGAAGGCGCGCGUCUGCAGCGACUCCAUCCGGUACAUCGCGGCGGCGACGGCGUCGGCGUCGGCCCCCGCCGGGAGCGCGCAGCGGUAGGGGACCUCGGAGCCCUCGGCGGUGAGCGCGUCGACGAGGAACGGCACGAAGGCGGCGCCGUAGUCGUCGUCCUGACCGGCACGACGCGGCGCCACCCGAAGAGCCUCGCGAGCGCGGCGAUGGCGCCCGCCUGCGCCGCGUCGCUCAGCGCGGCGCGCGCGAAGAACCUCCCUCCGCCGGGCGACACCGACGGGCUGGUCGCCGAGAACGACACGACGGGGACCUCCGCCCGCGUGGCGAGGUCGGCGACGAACGCCGACUCCACGGAGGACUGA